rnacentral:misc_RNA from 1 species
UAUUUGGAUUGCAAAAAUAUUGUUUGUUGUUUAUUUGAUUGUUAAUAUUACACGGUAUUGAUAUAAACAAUUGUCUUAUAUGUUAUAUUAUUUUAUUUUUUUUACAUUUUUUUUGUUCAGGUCAUUCAGUUGCAUGCCUGCACCUUGCACCUAGGCCCCAAAACCCCUUUGUGCCUUCAUGUGCCUUGCAUCUUUAACAACUAUGAACCCAAACAAAAAGUCAACAAUUGUGAUGAUAGACUUAAUGCAGUAGGUGGUAGAAG